GGUGGGACAGCGGUAGGUGGGACGGUGGUAGGUAGGACAGCGGUAGGUGGGACAGUGGUAGGUGGGUAGGUGGUUGGUAGGACAGCGGUAGGUGGGACAGUGGUAGGUGGGACAGUGGUAGGUGGGUAGGUGGUUGGUUGGGAGGUGGUUUGUGGGACGGUGGUUGGUGGUUGGUGGGUAGAUGGUUGGUGGGAAGGUAGGUAGGUAGGUAGGUGGUUGGUGGGACAGUGGUAGGUGGGUAGGUGGUUGGUUGGGAGGUGGUUUGUGGGACGGUGGUUGGUGGUUGGUGGGUAGAUGGUUGGUGGGAAGGUAGGUAGGUAGGUAGAUGGUUGGUGGGACAGUGGUAGGUGGGUAGGUGGUUGGUGGGAAGGUAGGUAGGUAGGUAGGUAGGUAGGUAGGUGGUUGGUGGGACAGUGGUAGGUGGGUAGGUGGUUGGUGGGACAGUGGUAGGUGGGACGUGGUAGGUGGGUAGGUGGUUGGUAGGACAGCGGUAGGUGGGACAGUGGUAGGUGGGACGGUGGUAGGUGGGUAGGUGGUUGGUUGGGAGGUGGUUUGUGGGACGGUGGUUGGUGGUUGGUGGGUAGAUGGUUGGUGGGAAGGUAGGUAGGUAGGUGGUUGGUGGGACAGUGGUAGGUGGGUAGGUGGUUGGUUGGGAGGUGGUUUGUGGGACGGUGGUUGGUGGUUGGUGGGUAGAUGGUUGGUGGGAAGGUAGGUAGGUAGGUAGGUAGGUAGGUAGGUAGGUAGGUAGGUAGGUAGGUAGGUAGGUGGUUGGUGGGACAGUGGUAGGUGGGUAGGUGGUUGGUGGGAAGGUAGGUAGGUAGGUGGUUGGUGGGACAGUGAUAGGUGGGUAGGUUGUUGAUGGGUAGGUGGUAGCUGAGUAGGUGGUUGGUGGUAUGUGGGUAAGUGGAAGGUGGUUGGUGGGUAGGUGGGAAGGUGGGAAGGUGAUUGGUUUGGUAGGUGGUUGGUUGGUUGGUAAGUGGUUUGUGGGAAGGUGGUUGGUGGGAAAGUGGGAAGGUGGUUGGUGGGACAGUGGUUGGUGGGAAAGUGGGAAGGUGGUUGGUGGGAAGGUGGUUGGUGAAACGGUGGUAUGUGGUUGGUGGGUAGAUGGUUGGUAGGACAGCAGUAGGUGGGACAGUGGUAGGUGGGUAGGUGGUGGGUAGGUAGGUAGGUGGUUGGUGGGACAGUGGUAUGUGGGAAGGUGGGUUGGUGGGACGGUGGAUAGGUGGAUAGGUGGUAGAGGGAUAGGUUGUUGGUUGGUGAGAAGGUGGGUAGGUGGUUGGUUGGUAAGUGGUUUGUGGGACGGUGGUUUGUGGGACUGUGGUUGGUGGGAAGGUGGGUAAGUGGGACAGUGCUAGGUGGUUGGUGGGACAGUGGUAGGUGGUUGGUUGGUAAGUGGUUUUGUGGGUUGGUGGGUAGGUGGUUGGAAGGUAGGUAGGUGGUUGGUUUUUAAGUGGUUUGUGGGAGGCUGGGUAGAUGGAAGAUGGUUGGUAGAACGGUGGUAGGUGGUUGGUGGGUAGGUGGUUGGUAGGACAGCGGUAGGUGGCUGGUGAGUAGGUGGUUGGUAAGUGGUUGGUUGGUUUGGUGGUAUGUGGUUGCUGGGUCCGUGGUUGCUGGAUAGGUGGUUGCUGGAUAGGUGGUUGCUGGAUAGG